rnacentral:rRNA from 1 species
AGUCGAACGGCAGCACGGGAGCUUGCUCCUGGUGGCGAGUGGCGAACGGGUGAGUAAAGCAUCGGAACGUACCUUGUCGAGGGGGAUAACGCAGCGAAAGUUGUGCUAAUACCGCAUACGUCCUGAGGGAGAAAGCGGGGGACCGCAAGGCCUCGCGCGAUGAGAGCGGCCGAUGUCAGAUUAGCUAGUUGGUGAGGUAAAGGCUCACCAAGGCGACGAUCUGUAGCGGGUCUGAGAGGAUGAUCCGCCACACUGGGACUGAGACACGGCCCAGACUCCUACGGGAGGCAGCAGUGGGGAAUUUUGGACAAUGGGGGAAACCCUGAUCCAGCCAUGCCGCGUGAGUGAAGAAGGCCUUCGGGUUGUAAAGCUCUUUCGGCCGGGAAAAAAUUGCACGGAUGAACAGUCUGUGUAGAUGAUGGUACCGGACUAAGAAGCACCGGCUAACUACGUGCCAGCAGCCGCGGUAAU